AUGCCCAAGCCGCCGCCGGUCGUCGAGCUCCCGAUACGCAAGACCGUCCCGCUCAUCGACAUCGACGGCGACGACGACGAUGACGGAGGUCGCAGCGGCCGUCAUGGCGGAAGCCCCGCUACGGGGGGUCGUUCCGCCGGUCCGGUACGCGGUGAAGGCGGAAGCCGCGCUAAGAGUGGACGCUCCGGCCGCUCGGAACGCGGUGAAGGCGGAGGACGCGCUAAGGGAGACCGCCCCGGCAAUCGCGGACGCGGUCGGGAGGGUCCGUUGGUCGGUGGUCGCGCGGCGGCGGGAUCGCCGCCACCGCGACGAAACCCGGCCACGGCGUCCUCUCCGUCCGUGGUCCGCUCCGGCGCCGCGAAUCCUCCGUCCAUCCAGCUCGACAGCGACAGCGACGACGACGACAUGCGCGGCCGGAGCUCGAACAAGGUAGCCGCACGCCAUCAUGGCCGGGGGGCGGAUCCUGUCUCCGAUAGUGGAGCCACAUAUCUCUACUGUCCGAGCAGCGAUUCGGAGGAUUCACGCGCGAGAGGUCGCAAGAGGGCGGCGCCCUCCUCGCCCGGUGGCUCCAGGAAGGCGAAGAAGCAGAGACGAGAGUCGUCGAGCGGUGCCAAGGCGCACGGGGCGGGGGCUCGCGCUCUCGCGACGAGGCCUGUCGACGAACCGCGAACCUCCCACAAGUCGUCGAGGAAGCACAAGAGACUCGAGGCCGUCCGUCGUCCUCGGUCUCAUCAUUCCAGCGGCGAUGGACGGCUCGGGAGAUCCGGCCAAGGGGGCGGCGACAGGGGUCGGCGUGAUGCUGCGCCGGCGAGGCAGCUCGGCGCCGGCGCAGUUGUUGCGUCAAGCCCUCGUUCGCGGAGCGGCAACCGAGGAAAAGUGGCUGCGAAGUAUGCUGCACCAGUGGUUCCCGAAGAUAGCGUGGACGAAGGUGAUGGUGAGGAGAUGGAAGACACCAGCUCAGAUGACGAUGGGAGAUUCGGCCAUAGGGGCCGGCAUGGUGCUGCGCCGCCGAGGCAGGCCGGCGCGGUUGUUGCAUCUCGUAAUCGUUCACGCGACGGCCACCGAAGAAGUAGAACUGUGGUAACUGAUGACAGCGGGGAUGACGGUGAAGGUGAAGAGACGAGCAGUUCAGAUGACAAUGAUGAGGGAUCCCGAGAUGACGAGGAGGAGGAUGGGAUCAAGGGGACGAACACGGAUGACGGAAGUGGCGAUAGUGAGGAAGAGGAUGAGGAGUAUGAGGAGGAGGAUGUGAUGAAAGGGACGAACAAGGAUGUUGAAAGUGACGAUAGGGAGGAGGAGGAGGGUGAUGAUAGCGAGGAUGAGGAUGAAGAUGUAAUGGAGAGGAAGAACAAGGGGGGUGAUGAUGUGAUGAGGAGGAAGAAGGAGGAUGUGGAUGUGAUGAAGGGGAAGAACAAGGAGGAUGACAAUGGUAAUAGCCACGGCAGAUGCAAAUCCGUAGAGGAGGAGGUCGGUGGGGAGGACGACGGAAACAGCACUCAUGACGACAGUUCUGAUGCCAAUGCUGACGAAGAGGAGUCUGACGACACUACGGAGACAGAGACAGAGGAGGAGGAGGAGGCGGAGGAGGAAGAAGAAGAAGAAUCUGACGAGGCAGAGCAGGACCGGCGUGUCGCGCCUAGCCGCAACGGCGAGGCAGGGCAGGACCGGCGUGUCGCGCCUGGCAGCAACGGCGAGGCAGGGCAGGACCAGCGUGUCGCGCCAAGCAGCAACGGCGAGGCCGGUGGGAGGGCCAGACCAGCCGUCGAGGGUUUGCCAAGAAUCAGAAAGAGGAGAUUCGAGGGGUUGUGGAUCGUCGAGGAGCCCGACACCACCGCCCCCCCUCCCGGCCGGGGUCUCAUCAGUGAGCGGACACGGUCGCACCUGAGCUGCUCCAACAAGAAACUGCUGAAACGUGGUACUGUAAGCAGGCCGGUCCUGCUCGACACAUCUUCCUCCGGCUCCGAGCCAGAGGAAGCCGUGCAACCGCCUCAGCCAACCAGCUGGGCGGCCGAGGACGACAGCUCCGGCGAAGACAGAAGGCCGGCGAAGAGGAGGAAGAAGAAGAGACGGUGCCGGGAGCAGAUCGCCCAAGGCGGGCGCUCAGAGGAAGAGGACGACCACGGCAACGACCCUGACGCUGAACCUGACGACGACAGAACGUUCCCGAGGAACGCCAGGAAGGGGCCGAGCUCAAGCCGGCCGAAGACCGGAGCGUCAAACCGGCAGCAGUCUGCUGCCAAGGAACGUGGCAAAGCCCACGCUGGCUCUUCUUCCAACCCACGACGCGCCAAGAAUCACGCUGCAAGCACAGCAGAGGGGCGCGGUCUGCAGGAUGACAUUUUCUUCAAGAAAAGCUCCCUGUCUCAUCGCAAGGGGAAGCAUACGGAGGAGGAGGACAUCCCUUGCAAUGAUCUGCUCUCCUCCUUAUUCGACGGGAUACCGAGCUACCGGAACGGCUCUGCUCCUGCCGAUGCACAGCAGGGCGGCGGCGACACGAUGCCUCUGGUGUUCAAGUUCGGGGAGGAAGCUGAAGUGAAAUCAGAGCAUGACGAGUUUGAGGAUCAACAGUGGGAAGACAUGGAUCUUGCCUCUCAAGCCAACAAUGCCAAUGCUCACAGCUCCCAGGAGGUUGAAGAGAGCCAGGGGCAAGAUAUUCCAUCAGACCAAAAAACUUUAUGCAGUCAAGGGAAGCAUGAUUUAUUUACCGAUGACCAAAUUGGAACUUGGUGCAAGCACUGCAGAUUUGUUCUUGAAAUUAAAUAUGUAAUGGCCCCUAUGGGGAAUUAUUCAGCGGAAAGGGAACCAACGGCUCGCGAGCUGAACAUGGAUAAUAUUAUUUUUAAUGGCAUCCUAACAACAAUGGGGUAUGAAGGAGAGUACAUCACUGGCAGUCAUAAAAGUGGCCCUGUAUGGAAUCUCAUUCCUGGUGUCCGAGAAGACAUGUUCCCACACCAGCAGGAAGCCUUUGAAUUCAUGUGGAAGAAACUGGCCGGAGGUAUUGACAUUGAAGAGGUGAAGAAGUUUGUGAAAACUGAUACUCUAAGUGGCUGUGUGAUCUCUCACGCCCCAGGGACGGGGAAGACCAGAUUAGCAAUCACAUUUGUUCAAUCUUACCUCGAGCUUUUCCCGCAGUGUUUUCCGGUGAUCAUUGCCCCCAAGGGGAUGCUUGACACAUGGGAAACUGAGUUCAGGAAAUGGAAUGUGAAGAUACCUUUCCACAUACUGAAUUCCAGAGAUAUCCACUGGCAUGGAGAUAAAACCGUCGAAAAACUGGCCUCGAAUGAUAAGGAAUUGGCCCGGAGGCUGUCCAUUAGCAGCAUUGACAAGAAUUAUAUGCGCGCGCUGAAAUUGCGAUCGUGGGCUGAGGGGAGUAGCAUCAUUGGACUCAGCUACAGCCUGUUCCAGAAGCUCACCAAAGGAGAAGGCAAUGAUGAUGACAAGCUGAGGCAGAUGCUUCUUCAAAGGCCUGACUUGCUGAUCCUGGAUGAAGGACACACGCCAAGGAACAAGGAGAGCAAUAUUUUUAAGGCUCUUGCUGAAGUUCGGACAAAAAGACGAAUAAUCCUAUCAGGGACUCCAUUUCAAAAUAACUUUGAAGAGCUUCGAAGCGUCUUUAGCUUGUUACUUCCUGCAAACUUUGAAGCCAUGGAUUUCUUUCCUUCUUCGAAACUACACAACGUGACAGAUGUGAUGGUAGAUGAGAUCAGGAAAAGAUUGGACCCUUAUGUGCACAUCCAUAAUGGCGACAUUCUUCAUAAAUCCCUUAAAGGACUAAGAGAAUCUGUUGUGAUUCUGAAUCCUCUUCCCAGCCAGAAGAGGAUCAUCGCAAUGAUGGAGAAACAUAAGACACGUGGCAAACGUCCUCAAAAAGAAAAGACACAUGGCGGCACUUUGGAGUGGGAAUACAAGAUAUCUCUUGCGUCUGUACAUCCGUCCCUCGUUGCUGGCAUGAAAAAGUUGCCAAAAGAAGUAACAUCUGUUGUGGACGAGCUUCCAUUGGAGAGGUUACGGUUGAAGCCAAGUGAAGGAGUUAAGACGAGGUUUGUGUACGAGGUUGUGCGUCUAUGUCAAGCUUUAAAAGAGCGAGUGCUUGUGUUUAGCCAGUUCCUUGAACCACUGGACUUGAUCAUGCAACAGCUGAGAAAAGAGUUCAACUGGACUAAAGGCAAAGAGAUCAUGUAUAUGAGUGGAAAUGUCUCCCCUAAAACCCGCAAAGCCUUGAUGGUGGCCUUCAAUGAUGUGGAGAGCGAGGCCAAGGUGAUGCUUGCAUCGACCAAGGCGUGUGGAGAAGGUAUCACCCUCGUUGGAGCAUCGCGUGUGGUGCUCCUCGAUGUUGUGUGGAACCCUUCUGUUGGAAGGCAGGCGAUUGGACGGGCAUAUCGUAUUGGUCAACAAAAGAUUGUCCAUACAUACAAUCUAAUCGCAGAAGGAACACAAGAGAAGGCCAAAUAUGACACACAAGCUAAGAAGGACCAAAUGUCCAAAUUGCUGUUUUCAAGUGAGCCACAGCCUACAGAGUGCAGCCGGUCAUCAGAAUUUAUUUCCAAUGACAAGAUUUUGGAACAGAUGACUGAAGAUGAAGAUCUGAAAGAGAUGUUUGUGAGUAUUCUCCCGUCGCAGUGGUGA
rnacentral:rRNA from 1 species